CUAACAGGACGACGUAUUCUGUGAGAAAGAUACCCCAAUGAGUUAGGACCGCCAGAUCCUACGGAGCAGCAGUGGGAAUCUGCCAUGACGAAGCUGACGCAGCACGCGCUGCGGAUGACGCUCGUGUGUAAACGCUUCAGCAGGACGAAAUGACGUACUGCAGAGAGCCCGCUACUACGUGCAGCAGCGCGUAUACGUAGGGGGCAGCGUGUCCGGACUCAUUGGGCGUAAAGAGCUCGUAGGCGGUUCAGUAAGUCGGGUGUGAAAGCUCCGAGCUCAACUCGGAGAGGCCACCCGAUACUGCUGUGACUUGAGUCCAGUAGAGGAGCGUGGAACUCCUGGUGUAGCGGUGGAAUGCGCAGAUAUCAGGAAGAACACGUGCAGCGAAGGGCGGCGCUCUGGGCUGGAACUGACGCUGAGGAGCGAAAGCGUGGGUAGCAAACAGGAUUAGAUACCCUGGUAGUCCACGCCGUAAACGUUGGGCACUAGGUGUGGGGAGCCGUCAACGCUCUCUGUGCCGUAGCUAACGCAUUAAGUGCCCCGCCUGGGGAGUACGGCCGCAAGGCUAAAACUCAAAGGAAUUGACGGGGGCCCGCACAAGCGGCGGAGCAUGUUGCUUAAUUCGAGGCAACGCGAAGAACCUUACCUAGGU
rnacentral:rRNA from 1 species